AAUUGACUGUGUUAUCAAUAGAGAGUGAUACAUUAUACAGUGACACAUAAAAGUGCGUCAUUUUGUAACGACUAAAAUGGAUUUACAAGGGCAUUUUGAACGUCCAGAAAUUAUCAACAACCCUAUAUACCAACUUUUAUUAAAUUCAGCUGAUGGCAAAAGUGUUUUAAAAUAUUAUCGAGAUAAUGAAUGCUUGAAGAAAACCUUAAGAAAUUUACUCAGCAGACUUAUACUCAGCCCUGAAAAAGAUAGACAAUUAGAAACAGUUCUCUAAGUGCCAUAAAGAUGGCACUUAGAUAAUAUUAUAGUUUGUAGCAAUAUUAAAGUAUGUCUUAUUGUUAAAAAAUUAAUAAGUACAUUCCUCUACGAAAAAAACUGAAUGUUAUCGAUUGUACAACGAUCAGUAUACGUGGGAUGUACUAAAUUUGGAUGACCUAUUUAGCUUUAAGAUUACGAAUCUUGAAAGAGCAUCUAAUGGUGCGAAAUUUAUUCUCAAAAAUUGGUUUUAAUUUGAAUAAAGAUAUAUUUAAUAAUUCAUAAAA